rnacentral:rRNA from 1 species
ACGAACGCUGGCGGCGUGCUUCACACAUGCAGGUCGAACGGAAAGGCCCUGCUUUUGUGGGGUGCUCGAGUGGCGAACGGGUGAGUAACACGUGAGUAACCUGCCCUUGACUUUGAGAUAACUUCAGGAAACUGGGGCUAAUACCGGAUAGGAGCUCCUGCUGCAUGGUGGGGGUUGGAAAGUUUCGGCGGUUGGGGAUGGACUCGCGGCUUAUCAGCUUGUUGGUGGGGUAGUGGCUUACCAAGGCUUUGACGGGUAGCCGGCCUGAGAGGGUGACCGGCCACAUUGGGACUGAGAUACGGCCCAGACUCCUACGGGAGGCAGCAGUGGGGAAUAUUGCACAAUGGGCGGAAGCCUGAUGCAGCAACGCCGCGUGCGGGAUGACGGCCUUCGGGUUGUAAACCGCUUUCGCCUGUGACGAAGCGUGAGUGACGGUAAUGGGUAAAGAAGCACCGGCUAACUACGUG